AUAGAAUCUUCUGAAAGGAGAAAGCAGAAGUCUCUUAAAGGGACAGUGCACGUUGUUGUGGAGUGCAAUACAGGCUGCUGUUUCCUGUUGUCAGUUCUUUUAUGCAGGUAUGAUAUAUACCAGGCUAUCAGUAAUCCAGUGGUGGCUAUGCUCCUGCGGAUACAACGCUAGAAUCCAUGAGAGUUCUGUCGUAGAUCCAGCCUCUGCUGCUCUGCCAUACUGUGCCCAAUGAUUGCCAUGUUAUUGCAGGUCUAAUGGCCAGAAUAACCUGUCAGGGGACAAUAGGCCAGCACAGUCCAUUUGUGGAAUGACCAUGUUUACUCUGCCGCACAACAAGCUCCUUAGAAAGUUACAAUAAACCAAGUAGG